rnacentral:misc_RNA from 1 species
UUAUGUACCUAUUAGAACGCCUGCAAGGAAGUUACUGGCAACCCCAACACCAAUGGGGACUCCACUUUAUGCUAUUCCAGAGGAUAAUAGGGGGCAGCAAUUUGAUGUGCCAAAGGAAGCUCCUGGUGGGUUGCCAUUUAUGAAGCCAGAGGAUUAUCAGUACUUUGGAGCUUUAUUGAAUGAAGAUGAUGAGGAGGAGUUGUCACCUGACGAGCAGAAAGAGAGGAAAAUUAUGAAGCUCUUGCUGAAGGUUAAGAAUGGGACACCUCCUCAGAGAAAGACUGCUUUGAGGCAGUUGACUGAUAAGGC